rnacentral:rRNA from 1 species
AUUGAACGCUGGCGGCAGGCCUAACACAUGCAAGUCGAACGAGUGGCGGACGGGUGCGGAAUGUCUGGGAAACUGCCUGAUGGAGGGGGAUAACUACUGGCAACGGUAGCUAAUACCGCAUACCAUCAGAUGUGCCCAGAUGGGAUUAGCUAGUUGGUGGGGUAACGGCUCACAAGGGCGACGAUCCCUAGCUGGUCUGAGAGGAGGACCAGCCACACUGGAACUGAGACACGGUCCAGACUCCUACGGGAGGCAGCAGUGGGGAAUAUUGCACAAUGGGCGAAAGCCUGAUGCAGCCAUGCCGCGUGUAUGAAGAAGGCCUUCGGGUUGUAAAGUACUUUCAGCGGGGAGGCGUUACCCGCAGAAGAAGCAACGGCUAACUCCGUGCCAGCCGCCGCGGUAAUUC